rnacentral:rRNA from 1 species
CCUCCUACGGGGGGCUGCAGUAGGGAAUAUUGCCCAAUGGACGAAAGUCUGAGGCAGCAACGCCGCGUGCACGAAGAAGGCCUUCGGGUUGUAAAGUGCUUUUGACGAAGAAGAGGAAGGACAGUACUCGUCGAAUAAGCUUCGGCUAACUACGUGCCAGCAGCCGCGGUAACACGUAGGAAGCGAGCGUUAUCCGGAUUUACUGGGCGUAAAGCGUGUGCAGGCGGUCGUGUAAGUUGGAUGUGAAAGCUCCUGGCUAAACUGGGAGAGGUCGUUCAGAACUGCGCGACUAGAGAGCGAAAGAGGGAAGCAGAAUUCCGAGUGUAGUGGUGAAAUGCGUAGAUAUUCGGAGGAAUACCAGAGGCGAAGGCGGCUUCCUGGUUCGCAACUGACGCUGAGACACGAAAGCUAGGGUAGCAAACGGGAUUAGAUACCCCUGUAGUCGU